rnacentral:rRNA from 1 species
AGAGUUUGAUCAUGGCUCAGGACGAACGCUGGCGGCGUGCUUAACACAUGCAAGUCGAACGGAAAGGCCCUUCGGGGUGCUCGAGUGGCGAACGGGUGAGUAACACGUGGGUGAUCUGCCCUGCACUUUGGGAUAAGCCUGGGAAACUGGGUCUAAUACCGAAUAGGACUCCGGACUGCAUGGUCUGGGGUGGAAAGCUUUUGCGGUGUGGGAUGGGCCCGCGGCCUAUCAGCUUGUUGGUGGGGUGAUGGCCUACCAAGGCGACGACGGGUAGCCGGCCUGAGAGGGUGACCGGCCACACUGGGACUGAGAUACGGCCCAGACUCCUACGGGAGGCAGCAGUGGGGAAUAUUGCACAAUGGGCGCAAGCCUGAUGCAGCGACGCCGCGUGAGGGAUGACGGCCUUCGGGUUGUAAACCUCUUUCAGUAGGGACGAAGCGAAAGUGACGGUACCUACAGAAGAAGGACCGGCCAACUACGUGCCAGCAGCCGCGGUAAUACGUAGGGUCCGAGCGUUGUCCGGAAUUACUGGGCGUAAAGAGCUCGUAGGUGGUUUGUCGCGUUGUUCGUGAAAACUCACAGCUUAACUGUGGGCGUGCGGGCGAUACGGGCAGACUAGAGUACUGCAGGGGAGACUGGAAUUCCUGGUGUAGCGGUGGAAUGCGCAGAUAUCAGGAGGAACACCGGUGGCGAAGGCGGGUCUCUGGGCAGUAACUGACGCUGAGGAGCGAAAGCGUGGGUAGCGAACAGGAUUAGAUACCCCGGUAGUCCAA